rnacentral:rRNA from 1 species
AGAGUUUGAUCAUGGCUCAGAUUGAACGCUGGCGGCAGGCUUAACACAUGCAAGUCGAGCGGGGGAAGGUAGCUUGCUACUGGACCUAGCGGCGGACGGGUGAGUAAUGCUUAGGAAUCUGCCUAUUAGUGGGGGACAACAUCUCGAAAGGGAUGCUAAUACCGCAUACGUCCUACGGGAGAAAGCAGGGGAUCUUCGGACCUUGCGCUAAUAGAUGAGCCUAAGUCGGAUUAGCUAGUUGGUGGGGUAAAGGCCUACCAAGGCGACGAUCUGUAGCGGGUCUGAGAGGAUGAUCCGCCACACUGGGACUGAGACACGGCCCAGACUCCUACGGGAGGCAGCAGUGGGGAAUAUUGGACAAUGGGGGGAACCCUGAUCCAGCCAUGCCGCGUGUGUGAAGAAGGCCUUAUGGUUGUAAAGCACUUUAAGCGAGGAGGAGGCUACUUUAGUUAAUACCUAGAGAUAGUGGACGUUACUCGCAGAAUAAGCACCGGCUAACUCUGUGCCAGCAGCCGCGGUAAUACAGAGGGUGCGAGCGUUAAUCGGAUUUACUGGGCGUAAAGCGUGCGUAGGCGGCUUAUUAAGUCGGAUGUGAAAUCCCCGAGCUUAACUUGGGAAUUGCAUUCGAUACUGGUGAGCUAGAGUAUGGGAGAGGAUGGUAGAAUUCCAGGUGUAGCGGUGAAAUGCGUAGAGAUCUGGAGGAAUACCGAUGGCGAAGGCAGCCAUCUGGCCUAAUACUGACGCUGAGGUACGAAAGCAUGGGGAGCAAACAGGAUUAGAUACCCUGGUAGUCCAUGCCGUAAACGAUGUCUACUAGCCGUUGGGGCCUUUGAGGCUUUAGUGGCGCAGCUAACGCGAUAAGUAGACCGCCUGGGGAGUACGGUCGCAAGACUAAAACUCAAAUGAAUUGACGGGGGCCCGCACAAGCGGUGGAGCAUGUGGUUUAAUUCGAUGCAACGCGAAGAACCU